GUAUUUCUACGGGAGGCAGCAGUGGGGAAUAUUGGGCAAUGGGCGCAAGCCUGACCCAGCAACGCCGCGUGAAGGAAGAAGGCUUUCGGGUUGUAAACUUCUUUUAUGAGGGACGAAAGAAAUGACGGUACCUCAUGAAUAAGCCACGGCUAACUACGUGCCAGCAGCCGCGGUAAUACGUAGGUGGCAAGCGUUAUCCGGAUUUACUGGGUGUAAAGGGCGUGUAGGCGGGACUGCAAGUCAGAUGUGAAAAUUAUGGGCUCACCCCAUAACCUGCAUUUGCAACUGUAGUUCUUGC
rnacentral:rRNA from 1 species